rnacentral:tRNA from 1 species
AGUUUUCAUAAUUUAAGUAAAAUACUGGUCUUGUAAACCAAAAAUGAAUAAUUUCUGAAAACUUC